rnacentral:lncRNA from 1 species
UUGGCAAAAUCAAGCCUGGAACUGUUCCUGAGAAUAAGGAUGCUGGGUCGGACGAUGACGAUGAUGAUGAAGAUGAAGAUGAGGACGAUGAAGGUGGUGACGACGAUGAGGCUGAUGCAGAGGAGGAUUUCUCAGGUGAAGAAGGCGGUGAGGACGAGGAGGAUGAUGAUGACCCUGAGGCAAAUGGUGGUGAAGGAGGUAGUGACGAUGAAGAUGGUGAAGACGAUGAUGGUGAUGAUGAAGAAGGUGAUGAUGACGAGGAUGAGGAUGAGGAUGAGGAUGAAGAGGAAGAAGAUGACGAGGACCAGCCACCAUCCAAGAAGAAGAAAUGAUCUAGCUGCCUUCAUUCUCUCCCCUGUCUUGUUUCAGUCUGUUAGUUCUGCUGUUUAGAUGAUGAUG